CUGCAUUGAAGUAUUCAGGAAGUCUGCUUCCCUCUCCCUCACUUACUGCAGGAUUAACUCAACACGAGGUGCCCCUCCAGAUCCAGAGGUUGAACGUUUCUGCUCAGGACAGUCUGGAGUGCUGACCACAGUGGCCUGCUUUGGAGAUGAUACAGGUCUCCCGGCAAUGACUCCAACUCAUUUCACCUCUCUUACCAGUCUCCCGGCAACGACUCCAACUCAUUUCACCUCUCUUACCAGU